UGGGGAAUUUUGGACAAUGGGCGAAAGCCUGAUGCAGCAACGCCGCGUGAGCGAUGAAGGCCUUUGGGUCGUAAAGCUCUGUCCUUGGGGAAGAAACAAAUGACGGUACCCUUGGAGGAAGCCCCGGCUAACUACGUGCCAGCAGCCGCGGUAAUACGUAGGGGGCGAGCGUUAUCCGGAAGUAUUGGGCGUAAAGGGUGCGUAGGUGGUCUGAUAAGCGUGGGGUGAAAGGCAAUAGCUUAACUAUUGUAAGCCUUGCGAACUGUCAGACUUGAGUGCAGGGGAGAAAAGUGGAAUUCCUAGUGUGGCGGUGAAAUGCGUAGAUAUUAGGAGGAACAACAGUGGCGAAGGCGACUUUCUGGACUGUAACUGACACUGAGGCACGAAAGCGUGGGGAGCAAACA
rnacentral:rRNA from 1 species